CUGAAGAUUCACCUCUUCCUCUUGAGAAGUCAUCCCUCGGUUGCCAUACAAUGUUCCUGCAGCUUGUGCAACGGAUGACCUGGUUGCGGUAGCCUACGAACCGCCUCUUACAAGCUGGGCAAGCACCCUGUGAAACAUAGGAAAAAGGUUUUAGUCAGGAUCUGAACCUCAUGGUCCAAUGAAAAACUUGAUUAACUUCAGGUAUUAUACAAUUCAGUAUAAAAGGAGGCGAAAGGGAUGAUAAUGUCAUGAUCUUUGCUUUUUUCUGCAACUAAUCCUGCCACAAAAAUAAUAUGAGAAUCAUCAUAGCCCACAACAUAUCAAAAGUACAGGACAACUGUCAAGGAUGGGAAUAUGGUGCUGGUCCUGCCGUCGACACCCAUGGAGCAGACCACAUUGUUGUAAGGGAAAAUAAUUUUUUGUUUGUUCAAUUUUUUAUUUUUAACUUUUUUGUCCUAAACGAGUAUUUAAAUGAAUAUGUUUUUUAAGUCAAGGAUGGGAACAUGGUGCUGGUACUGCCAUUGA